UACGAAGGGUGCAAACGUUGCUCGGAAUUAUUGGGCGUAAAGCGCACGUAGGCGGCCUAGCAAGUCGAAUGUGAAAUCCCUCGGCUUAACCAAGGAAGUGCAUCCGAAACUGCUGUGCUUGAGUACGAAAGAGGAUCGCGGAAUUCCCGGUGUAGAGGUGAAAUUCGUAGAUAUCGGGAGGAACACCAGUGGCGAAGGCGGCGAUCUGGGUCGAUACUGACGCUGAGGUGCGAAAGCGUGGGGAGCAAACAGG
rnacentral:rRNA from 1 species